GACGCCACGCAACCGUGCUCCCGCCAACCCCUCAACAUCAUCAUCAAUCUUCCCUCUCUCUCUCCCGCUUCUUACAACCACGCUUCUCUGUCUCUAGAAAUUAGGGUUCCCGACGGACACGAUGCCCUUGCCGCAUUUCGAGAAAGGGGACAAGGUGGAGGUUACCAAAGGAGACGACGACGACAACUCUUCUUCUUGUUGUUCAUGGUUCCCAGCCUCUAUACUCCGCCCAUUUCCAGCUAAGCACAAGGGCCAGAUUUACGUCCAGUAUGAAACCCACUCCGAGGAGGACGAUACUGAGACUGAGACCAAACGACGCCGCAGAGAGUACGUCUCUGCUUCCAAUGUCAGGCCUUCGCCGCCCCUGGAGCUACACCGCUACUUCAAAGUUGGGGAAAACGUCGACGCAUUUCACGACAAGGCGUGGCGGAGAGGAACGAUUAAGGAUAUACUCGAGGAGUCGAGGUAUGCGGUGUCAUUUGAGGGUGUGUUGGAGGAGCAGUUGGAGUUCGAUCAGUGGAACUUAAGGCUUCAUCGGGAUUGGGAGGAUGGCUCCUGGGUCCCUCCUUUCCACCACCAGGUCAUCCAACCUAAAGAAUUGAAAUUGAGGAUAAAGUUUAGUGGAACAAAGUCAGAUGCCAAGUUCAGCAAGGGAACAAUGGUGGAAGUAGGAGGCGUCAAAGAAGGUUUCCAGGUUUCUUGGUAUGCAGCGGUCAUUGUUGACUUAAUAGGGAUUGACAAGUUUUUGGUGGAAUACCAGACGGUGAAGACAUUGAAUGGCACUGCACUCCUCAAAGACAGUGUUGAUGCUUCUAAUAUUAGGCCUUGCCCCCCUGAAACUCCACAAAUCAGCCAUUUUAAAAAGUUUCAGGAAGUUGAUGCUUGGCAUAGAGAUGGGUGGUGGGUGAGUGACAUUGUUAACGUUCUUGAUGACUACAAUUACAGAGUCUACGUCAGGAGCACGAAUGAGGAAGUAACUCUUGAACAUUCUAAUUUGAGGCUUCAUCAAGACUGGAUUGAUGGUAAAUGGGUUACUGCUUCCAGGAGGUCAUCCGGGUUAGAGUUGAAGUCCAGAAAGAGAGACGUGGAGUUCAAGGUAAAGGUGGGUGGAAGAACGUCAAAGGCAAAGUUCAAGGAGGGGACACUAGUGGAGGUAAAAAGUGAUGACGAAGGUUACCAUGGUUCUUGGUUCACUGCAGUCAUUGUUGGCUCACUAGGGGAGGACAAGUUCUUGAUUGAAUACCAAACACUGAAAUCAGAGGAUGAAGCUCAAUUCCUUAAAGAGAAGACCGAGGCUUCACAUCUUAGACCUUGUCCCCCCGAUAUACAGCGGGUUGACCGUUUCAAACUUUUUGAGAAAGUCGAUGCUUGGUACAAUGAUGGAUGGUGGGUGGGUCUUGUCUCCAGAGUGCUUGAUGGCUUAAAGUAUGCAGUUUAUUUCUGGACUACAAAUGAAGAACUGGAAUUUGGGCAUUUUAGCCUGAGGCCUCAUCAAGAAUGGAUUCAUGGAAAAUGGGUUGCUGAUUUCCGGAAAAAGGCAUCUGUUUUGUCUCUGAAGCCCAGACCAGGAAAGUCGAAUUGCCAGAAUGGCUUAAUGACAGCAGAGGCAAACUACUUUUGCAAGGGGAUGAAGGUAGAGGUCAAAAGUGACAAAGAAGGUUUCUCAGGUUCUUGGUACCCAGCAGUCAUUAUAGGCUCUAUAGGGACUGGGAAGUAUUUGGUAGAAUACAGGACACUGAAAUCUGAUGAUGAAAACAAGCUCCUAAAAGAAGAGGCUGAUGCUCCAUGCAUCAGGCCUUGUCAUCCUGUAAUUCAAAGGAAGGAUCCUUUUGAACCACUUGAAGAAGUUGAUGCUUGGUACAAUGCUGCAUGGUGGGCUGGUGGUGUCUGCAAAGUCCUUAAAGGCUCAAAGUAUGAAGUCUACAUUAGGGGCACAAAUGAGGUAUUGGAGUUUCAGCAUUCUGAUUUGAGGCCUCAUCAAGAUUGGACUGAUGGAAAAUGGCACAUCCCUUGCAGGGGUCGGAAGUUGUAAUGAUCAAAUGAAGCAUAGAUGGUUAAUUAUUCCAGCCUGCAACCUUAUCUUCGUAGAGAAUGUGUUCAUCCUGGGUAUGAAGGGGAGCUAAACUAAUGUUGUAAAAGUCUUGAGCCCUGUUGACUCUACCUGUAGAAGGUCAACCACAUGAACUUCAAGGAAGGUGAACCAAAUGGAAAGCUUCUUCCCUUACCACUGUUGCAGGGAUUUAAUAGUUAAGCUCGUGGCAGCACAUCAUGGGAUUGAGGGGUCUCUGUCCUUCUUAAAGAGUGAGGCCAAAAAGUGGGCAUCUGAUUGUAACACCAUGCAGAAAGUCACAUUGUCAUUUGCCAGUGCGGGUCUGUGGUUUUUAUCAGGAGUAUACUCUUGUUGAGCAGAAUGAUGUGAUAGCCGCAAUUAUUUCCACAGAAUUGUACUCCCAGUUGUAUGGAUAACAGUGUGUUCUAUUUUCCUUGAGAAAUCGUGAACCAUGAGACUGGAUUUUUCAUAAAGAGAGAGUCUACACCCACUGCUGCAUUUCACCGCUCCACCCAUCGCUUGCUGACGUGGAGCGAAAUCCAACCAAAACCCACCACAAUUCUCUUGAUAUCCAACUUGAAUUCGAACAAGUGACCUAAUUUAUCAAUAAUAGCCUUGCAUACCGUGUAAAACACGUGACAAGCGGUGGCGGAGGAGUCGAGGUCGAAGUGGCGGGCGAGGGACUCGUAGGAGAGGCAGAAGAGGGCGGCGGUGAGGGCGGAGUCGAGGGGGUGGGAGGGGAGAGGGAGGAGAGAGAAGGGGUUAGGAGGAGGAGAAAGGAGGGUUUGGACUUGCGGAAGGAUUUGACCCAUCUGGGGUCGUAGUUAGAGGAGGAAGCAGUUGAACCAACAGGGGUGUUGGGGGGAGGAGAGAGAGGUGGACGUGGACGUGGACGUGGAGGAUGUAAAUGAUAAGGAUAAGAACCCUCCUUGAUAACAAACCCUUUCAAAUGUAGUUGUAGAUAUAGACAAGGAUAGUUUUUCAAAUGUAUUUUUCCACUUGUAAUAUGCAUCUCUUGUAGCCUAUUUAAUGGACUGUAUAGAUGAAUACAAAGUAAGAAAACAUAUUUGUUUACUCCAA